GACGAACGCUGGCGGCGUGCCUAAUACAUGCAAGUAGAACGCUGAAGAGAGGAGCUUGCUCUUCUUGGAUGAGUUGCGAACGGGUGAGUAACGCGUAGGUAACCUGCCUGGUAGCGGGGGAUAACUAUUGGAAACGAUAGCUAAUACCGCAUAAAAUGGAUUAUCGCAUGAUAAUCCAUUGAAAGGUGCAAAUGCAUCACUACCAGAUGGACCUGCGUUGUAUUAGCUAGUUGGUGGGGUAACGGCUCACCAAGGCGACGAUACAUAGCCGACCUGAGAGGGGGAGCCGCCACCCUGGGAAUGGGACACGGCCCAGACCCCUACGGGAGGCAGCAGUAGGGAAUCUUCGGCAAUGGACGGAAGUCUGACCGAGCAACGCCGCGUGAGUGAAGAAGGUUUUCGGAUCGUAAAGCUCUGUUGUAAGAGAAGAACGAGUGUGAGAGUGGAAAGUUCACACUGUGACGGUAUCUUACCAGAAAGGGACGGCUAACUACGUG
rnacentral:rRNA from 1 species